ACCCUCCGGCCCCGCAGCCCAAAAUAGCCACGGCCUCACCUGAGCAAGGGGGGGGAGGGCGGGGGGCCAGGGCUGCCCGCCUGCCUUCGUCCCACUGCUCCAUAUUAAUGAGCCCCCUCUUCCUCCCCCUCCUCCUCCUCCUCCUCCUCCCCCCCCGGUGUCCGGCUGUGCAGCCGGGGCUGCUGCCGUGUUACCUGAGCGCAGCCCGACGAGGCCACCGCCAUGGCCGGCUGCUCCCCCAGGCUCCAGCUCUGGCUCUUGCUCCACGUCUCCUGCCUCUGCCUGGCCCAGAUCCGAGGGCCGCCGGGAGAGCCCGGCCCGCGAGGUCCCCCCGGUCCCCCAGGAGUGCCAGGAGUGGAUGGCAUUGACGUGAGUACGGCGCUGCCGGGAACCUGCACAGGCUGGAGGGAGGGAGGAAGGGAAGGAGGGAGGGGACCUGCAGCACAAAGAGGGGCAUUGUUUGGGGGCAGAGGCUCGGUGGAGGGGAAGGGGGUGCCGAUCCCGAGCGGUUCCCGCACUGCUCUGCUGCUGGGCUGGGGAGAUGGAGCAUCCCCAGCUUUGCCGGUGGCCCUGGGCAGCGAAGAUGGCACAGAGGAGCACAGGUCCCGUGCCAUGGCUCCAUCCACCUCCCCAGGACAGCAGCCCGUGGCCUCCUGGUCUCCUUGGGAAAUGGGGUCUGGAAUGCUUUUUGGGGACCACAGUGGCAGGGAGGUUUCGGUGCCGGGUGCUCGGGGCAUCUCUGUCUGGGCAGCAGAGGAUGCUCAGGGGCUCGGGUGCAGGGAUCAGCCCAGAGGUGCCCAGUGAGGAAGGGGAGCUGGGGAGGCUGGCAGGGAGCAGG
rnacentral:lncRNA from 1 species